AGUGAACGCUGGCGGUAGGCCUAACACAUGCAAGUCGAACGGCAGCACAGUAAGAGCUUGCUCUUACGGGUGGCGAGUGGCGGACGGGUGAGGAAUACAUCGGAAUCUACUUUUUCGUGGGGGAUAACGUAGGGAAACUUACGCUAAUACCGCAUACGACCUACGGGUGAAAGCAGGGGAUCUUCGGACCUUUCGCGAUUGAAUGAGCCGAUGUCGGAUUAGCUAGUUGGCGGGGUAAAGGCCCACCAAGGCGACGAUCCGUAGCUGGUCUGAGAGGAUGAUCAGCCACACUGGAACUGAGACACGGUCCAGACUCCUACGGGAGGCAGCAGUGGGGAAUAUUGGACAAUGGGCGCAAGCCUGAUCCAGCCAUGCCGCGUGAGUGAAGAAGGCCUUCGGGUUGUAAAGCCCUUUUGUUGGGAAAGAAAAGCAGCAGGUUAAUACCCCGCUGUUCUGACGGUACCCAAAGAAUAAGCACCGGCUAACUUCGUG
rnacentral:rRNA from 1 species